rnacentral:lncRNA from 1 species
GAUCAACCGCGAAAUAAGGAGUAUCUAGUGGACGCUGUACAUAUAUGCAUAGCCAAAGCUAGUUAGUCUUAUGUUUAACUGCUAGUUUGAAAAAGAAAAGAGAUGGGAAACACGCUCACUUGAAGUUGUACGGUAGAAGUAUGUAUUUCUUGUAAUGUUGUUUGUCUAGGAACUUAUAUAUGUUCUUCAAGGUCCGAUUUGGUCUAUCUCUUACAGUUGACUCGUUUAUAAUAUCCGGGUCCAUGAAGCCGAUGUCAUAGUAUCCUUUCCUCCAGUAAGUUUGAAUCUCCAUCCUGCAUGAUACAAAAUCGAAUAGGAGUUAAGACAUCGCACAAUGACUAGAGCAAGGAUUUUGAAGUUAGAGCAAAUUAAAGACUUACAGAACUCAGGAACUGAUGAGCAACUUGUCAAGUGCGUCUUGAUUGUAAAGGAAAUAGAGUUCCUCCAGUUGCAUAUUUUAAUGUCUUCC